UGUAGUGUGGUGGAACUGGCAGACACACCCUCCUCUCUCGAGGGUGAAGGUUCGGGAUAAAUCGGCCCCCCGGCCGGCUAACCACUUCGUGGAGGUUCAAGUCCUUCCGCUACAGCCA
rnacentral:tRNA from 1 species